rnacentral:rRNA from 1 species
GUUGUGAUUUCAUUAAUCGCUUCGGAGCGCGGGCGGUCGCGGCCGUUAAAUCUUUCAUAAGGUUGACCUCGGAUCAGGUAGGGAUACCCGCUGAACUUAAGCAUAUCAAUAAG